AAAUGAGAGGAUGCGGGGGGCUUCUCUGUUCCUCUAACUUCCUGCGUUUCUUCAUUUGUUGUCUAUCUCUCAUUUUUGGGUCGCUUCAUUCUCUCUUAGUUCCUCUGUGAGGGAGGCUUGAUGAAUUGAGUGCAUUCUCUCUUUCUCUC
ensembl:ncRNA F42C5.14 ncRNA